rnacentral:rRNA from 1 species
GAUGAACGCUGGCGGCGUGCCUAAUACAUGCAAGUCGAGCGAACGGACGAGAAGCUUGCUUCUCUGAUGUUAGCGGCGGACGGGUGAGUAACACGUGGAUAACCUACCUAUAAGACUGGGAUAACUUCGGGAAACCGUAGCUAAUACCGGAUAAUAUUUUGAACCGCAUGGUUCAAAAGUGAAAGACGGUCUUGCUGUCACUUAUAGAUGGAUCCGCGCUGCAUUAGCUAGUUGGUAAGGUAACGGCUUACCAAGGCAACGAUGCAUAGCCGACCUGAGAGGGUGAUCGGCCACACUGGAACUGAGACACGGUCCAGACUCCUACGGGAGGCAGCAGUAGGGAAUCUUCCGCAAUGGGCGAAAGCCUGACGGAGCAACGCCGCGUGAGUGAUGAAGGUCUUCGGAUCGUAAAACUCUGUUAUUAGGGAAGAACAUAUGUGUAAGUAACUGUGCACAUCUUGACGGUACCUAAUCAGAAAGCCACGGCUAACUACGUGCCAGCAGCCGCGGUAAUACGUAGGUGGCAAGCGUUAUCCGGAAUUAUUGGGCGUAAAGCGCGCGUAGGCGGUUUUUUAAGUCUGAUGUGAAAGCCCACGGCUCAACCGUGGAGGGUCAUUGGAAACUGGAAAACUUGAGUGCAGAAGAGGAAAGUGGAAUUCCAUGUGUAGCGGUGAAAUGCGCAGAGAUAUGGAGGAACACCAGUGGCGAAGGCGACUUUCUGGUCUGUAACUGACGCUGAUGUGCGAAAGCGUGGGGAUCAAACAGGAUUAGAUACCCUGGUAGUCCACGCCGUAAACGAUGAGUGCUAAGUGUUAGGGGGUUUCCGCCCCUUAGUGCUGCAGCUAACGCAUUAAGCACUCCGCCUGGGGAGUACGACCGCAAGGUUGAAACUCAAAGGAAUUGACGGGGACCCGCACAAGCGGUGGAGCAUGUGGUUUAAUUCGAAGCAACGCGAAGAACCUUACCAAAUCUUGACAUCCUUUGACAACUCCAGAGAUAGAGCCUUCCCCUUCGGGGGACAAAGUGACAGGUGGUGCAUGGUUGUCGUCAGCUCGUGUCGUGAGAUGUUGGGUUAAGUCCCGCAACGAGCGCAACCCUUAAGCUUAGUUGCCAUCAUUAAGUUGGGCACUCUAAGUUGACUGCCGGUGACAAACCGGAGGAAGGUGGGGAUGACGUCAAAUCAUCAUGCCCCUUAUGAUUUGGGCUACACACGUGCUACAAUGGACAAUACAAAGGGCAGCGAAACCGCGAGGUCAAGCAAAUCCCAUAAAGUUGUUCUCAGUUCGGAUUGUAGUCUGCAACUCGACUACAUGAAGCUGGAAUCGCUAGUAAUCGUAGAUCAGCAUGCUACGGUGAAUACGUUCCCGGGUCU